rnacentral:rRNA from 1 species
UACGGAGGGUGCAAGCGUUAUCCGGAUUCACUGGGUUUAAAGGGUGCGUAGGUGGGCAGGUAAGUCAGUGGUGAAAUCUCCGGGCUUAACCCGGAAACUGCCAUUGAUACUAUCUGUCUUGAAUACCGUGGAGGUGAGCGGAAUAUGUCAUGUAGCGGUGAAAUGCUUAGAUAUGACAUAGAACACCAAUUGCGAAGGCAGCUCACUACACGAAUAUUGACACUGAGGCACGAAAGCGUGGGGGAUCAAACAGG